rnacentral:tRNA from 1 species
GUUGGUCUGGUGUUAUUUAGAGCAUAUCAAUUUUUCGUGUUGGGGGAAAUUUUAUUAUUGACCGAUG